UACGGAGGGGGCUAGCGUUGCUCGGAAUUACUGGGCGUAAAGGGCGCGUAGGCGGAUGACUAAGUCGGGGGUGAAAGCCCGGGGCUCAACCUCGGAACUGCCUUCGAUACUGGUCAUCUUGAGUACGGGAGAGGUGUGUGGAACUCCGAGUGUAGAGGUGAAAUUCGUAGAUAUUCGGAAGAACACCAGUGGCGAAGGCGACACACUGGCCCGUUACUGACGCUGAGGCGCGAAAGCGUGGGGAGCAAACAGG
rnacentral:rRNA from 1 species